GAGGAAUAUUGCGCAAUGGGGGCAACCCUGACGCAGCGACGCCGCGUGGAUGAUGAAGGCCUUCGGGUCGUAAAAUCCUGUCAGAUGGGAAGAAGUGCGUGGUGGUUAAUACCCAUCAUGUUUGACGGUACCAUCAGAGGAAGCACCGGCUAACUCCGUGCCAGCAGCCGCGGUAAUACGGAGGGUGCAAGCGUCGUUCGGAAUUACUGGGCGUAAAGCGCGCGUAGGCGGUUUGUUAAGUCAGAUGUGAAAGCCCAGGGCUUAACCUUGGACGUGCAUUUGAAACUGGCAGACUUGAGUAUUGGAGGGGGUGGUGGAAUUCCCGGUGUAGAGGUGAAAUUCGUAGAUAUCGGGAGGAAUACCGGUGGCGAAGGCGACCACCUGGCCAAAUACUGACGCUGAGGUGCGAAAGCGUGGGGAGCAAAC
rnacentral:rRNA from 1 species